rnacentral:tRNA from 2 species
GCGGAAGUAGCUCAGUUGGUAGAGCGCAACCUUGCCAAGGUUGAGGUCGCGAGUUCGAGUCUCGUUUUCCGCU